rnacentral:rRNA from 1 species
AUUGAACGCUGGCGGCAUGCCUUACACAUGCAAGUCGAACGGCAGCACGGGAGCAAUCCUGGUGGCGAGUGGCGAACGGGUGAGUAAUAUAUCGGAACGUGCCCAGUCGUGGGGGAUAACGCAGCGAAAGCUGUGCUAAUACCGCAUACGAUCUAAGGAUGAAAGCGGGGGAUCGCAAGACCUCGCGCGAUUGGAGCGGCCGAUAUCAGAUUAGCUAGUUGGUGGGGUAAAGGCCCACCAAGGCGACGAUCUGUAGCUGGUCUGAGAGGACGACCAGCCACACUGGAACCGAGACACGGUCCAGACUCCUACGGGAGGCAGCAGUGGGGAAUUUUGGACAAUGGGCGCAAGCCUGAUCCAGCAAUGCCGCGUGCAGGAUGAAGGCCUUCGGGUUGUAAACUGCUUUUGUACGGAACGAAACGGCCCUUUCUAAUACAGGGGGCUAAUGACGGUACCGUAAGAAUAAGCACCGGCUAACUACGUGCCAGCAGCCGCCGUAAUAC